rnacentral:rRNA from 1 species
AUUGAACGCUGGCGGCAGGCCUAACACAUGCAAGUCGAGCGGAUGACGGGAGCUUGCUCCUUGAUUCAGCGGCGGACGGGUGAGUAAUGCCUAGGAAUCUGCCUGGUAGUGGGGGACAACGUUUCGAAAGGAACGCUAAUACCGCAUACGUCCUACGGGAGAAAGCAGGGGACCUUCGGGCCUUGCGCUAUCAGAUGAGCCUAGGUCGGAUUAGCUAGUUGGCGGGGUAAUGGCUCACCAAGGCGACGAUCCGUAACUGGUCUGAGAGGAUGAUCAGUCACACUGGAACUGAGACACGGUCCAGACUCCUACGGGAGGCAGCAGUGGGGAAUAUUGGACAAUGGGCGAAAGCCUGAUCCAGCCAUGCCGCGUGUGUGAAGAAGGUCUUCGGAUUGUAAAGCACUUUAAGUUGGGAGGAAGGGCAGUAAGUUAAUACCUUGCUGUUUUGACGUUACCGACAGAAUAAGCACCGGCUAACUCUGUGCCAGCAGCCGCCGUAA